CCGAAGCAAAAGAACUGAACGCUAAUAGAAUUGAGUAGACUAAGUGGUAUUCAAGCAGGCAACCAAGGGUUAUAGGUUUAGCCGACCCCG
rnacentral:rRNA from 5 species